rnacentral:rRNA from 1 species
UUUAAUUGAUUUCUUUGGAAUGAAGUUUUUGUGACUGAGUGGCGGACGGGUGAGUAACGCGUGGGUAACCUGCCUCAUACAGGGGGAUAACAGUUGGAAACGACUGCUAAUACCGCAUAAGCGCACAGGAUUGCAUGAUCCAGUGUGAAAAACUCCGGUGGUAUGAGAUGGACCCGCGUCUGAUUAGCCAGUUGGCGGGGUAACGGCCCACCAAAGCGACGAUCAGUAGCCGACCUGAGAGGGUGACCGGCCACAUUGGGACUGAGACACGGCCCAAACUCCUACGGGAGGCAGCAGUGGGGAAUAUUGCACAAUGGGGGAAACCCUGAUGCAGCGACGCCGCGUGAGCGAAGAAGUAUUUCGGUAUGUAAAGCUCUAUC